GUCUUCGUGGCUCAGUGUAAGCACCCUCUUCUUCCAACCACCAAAACAAUUCACUAACAUCCAAAAAGUGGUUAGAGCGUUGGUCUCAUAUUUACAUAUGAAAAGAUUGUUAACAGUCUGGGCCAUCCAAAGGUCGUGAGUUCGAGUCUCACCGAGGACA